AGAGUUUGAUCAUGGCUCAGGAUGAACGCUAGCGGCAGGCCUAAUACAUGCAAGUCGAACGGUAGGCCCUUUCGGGGGUACACGAGUGGCGGACGGGUGCGUAACGCGUAUGCAACAUACCUUCAAGCGGGGGAUAUGCCAGGGAAACUUGGUGCAACACCCCAUAGCAUUUCGGGACCGCAUGGUCUUGGGAUUAAAUAUUUAUAGCUUGGAGAUUGGCAUGCGUGACAUUAGCUAGUUGGCGGGGUAACGGCCCACCAAGGCGACGAUGUCUAGCUGGUCUGAGAGGAUGAUCAGCCACACUGGGACUGAGACACGGCCCAGACUCCUACGGGAGGCAGCGGUAGGGAAUAUUGGACAAUGGGGGGAACCCUGAUCCAGCCAUGCCGCGUGAGGGAAGAAGGUCCUCUGGAUUGUAAACCUCUUUUGGCGGGGGACAAACCUGCACUAUACGUGCAGCUGAGGGUACCCGCAGAAUAAGCACCGGCUAACUCCGUG
rnacentral:rRNA from 1 species